UACACAGUUAUGCAGACUUAUAGCACAAGCAAACACGAUGACAAAACAUUUGUUAUUCACAACUUUGACAAUGGCAAUACCAGUGUUUUGUUUUGUUCUCUUUGGAAUCGUUCGUGGAUCAAUUGGGGUUGAGGAUCUCCUCGCAUCAGUUCUUAUGCUAAUGAUACUUGUAGCAAUCUUAUUGUUUACCUUGAUAUCAGCAGGCAUACUAAAUAUCAAGGCACAUGACUGUUUGGAUGACAUUAUGAAUGCUAACCUAGUGGAUGUAACAGAACGAACCCUUCAAAUCAUCUCUAUCUUCGCUACCCGGUUAAAUGGACCUCAGAUAGGCUUCCACGUCUACCGCCUCUUCACAGUGGACACGUCAAUG